rnacentral:rRNA from 1 species
UACGGGGGGAGCAAGCGUUGUUCGGAUUUACUGGGCGUAAAGGGCGCGUAGGCGGCGUGACAAGUCACUUGUGAAAUCUCCGGGCUUAACUCGGAACGGUCAAGUGAUACUGUCGUGCUAGAGUACAGAAGGGGCAACUGGAAUUCUCGGUGUAGCGGUGAAAUUCGUAGAUAUGCGGAGGAACACCGAUGGCGAAGGCAAUCCCCUGGACCUGUACUGACGCUCAUGCACGAAAGCGUGGGGAGCAAACAGG